UACGUAGGGUGCGAGCGUUUGUCCGGAAUUAUUGGGCGUAAAGAGCUCGUAGGUGGUUUGUCGCGUCGUCCGUGAAAACCUGCGGCUCAACUGCAGGCUGGCGGUCGAUACGGGCAGGCUGGAGUUCGGUAGGGGAGACUGGAAUUCCUGGUGUAGCGGUGAAAUGCGCAGAUAUCAGGAGGAACACCGGUGGCGAAGGCGGUUCUCUGGGGCAUGAUCUGACGGCUGAGGAGCGAAAGUGUGGGGAGCGAACAGG
rnacentral:rRNA from 1 species